UUAUAACUAUGGAACACAAUUUAUUCUCAAAUAAGUUUAUUAAUAGCAACAGUCCAAUGGUCAUAAUUGUAUCAAUCAACUAACUUAUAUGAACAAUUUAAAAAGCAUAUAACAACUUCAAGUAUUUUGCAUUGUGUAAAAGAGCAUAAAACAAGCAAUUUUCAGAGCCCCUAAACAAACUUUUGAUUAAAUAUCAUUUUUUCUUACAUGGCUUAGCAUCACAGUUCAAAUUUCAGCUAAUAGCACAAAAAACAACUGCCCAUGAAGUCUAUUCACUCUAGUAGUACUCCAUGGGCAGUUGUAGUUUUAUAGUUUUCUUGUUGUAGAAAAGAGUUAAACAUGAAUAAAGUUAUGGAGUAAAAGAUUUGAUCUCACAUUUAGGCUCCCCCCCCCCCCU